rnacentral:rRNA from 1 species
CACAUUGCCAUUACUAACAUCUACGCUCCCUCCUCGCGCUCUCUCAAGUUAGCGUUCUCAGACGAACUCGCCUCUAUCGCACAACCAGAUGACACCCCAUGGCUCAUAGCCGGCGACUUCAAUCUUAUCCGUUUCCCCUCCGAAGAAAAUAACGCCGCCUUCCACCCCGCCGAAGCCAAUGCGUUCAACCAAACCUUAGAUAACCUAGCACUUAUCGAAUUGCCUCUUCUGGACCGCAGGUUCACUUGGUCCAAUAACCGUGCCUCCCCACCCUAG